rnacentral:lncRNA from 1 species
UUUAAUCACCAAAUAACAAUGAAAUUGCUAGUCAUAAGAUCAAUGUAUCAAUCUCACAACAAUUAUUAUCAAACAUAUAUCAAUCUAAUCACCAAAUAACAAUACAAUUGUUAGUCCUAUGACGAAUAUAUCAAUCUCAAAAUAAUUAUUAUCAAACACAAACCAAGAGAAUGAACGAACUCUAGCGGCAACUAUGGUGGAUGCAGCAUUUGGAGAGCACAAAAAUGGUGUUUGCGCGAAAGAAAUGGAAAUGGAGGCAGCAUGGAAAACCGUUCAUUUGCGCUGGAGUAUGAAGGCAACACUGGAGAGGAAGAAGAAUAGUAGGUUCAUUUUUUUACGUUUAUGAAAUUUCAACCAACGAAAGAGAUACUACCUCGAUUAACUAAAUAACCAAGGCAAUGAACACUCUAUUGCCUCAGUUAUACAAGCAAUCGAUGCUUAAACCGUUAAAAAAAU